UUUGAGGUUUACUGCCAAGUCUGCUGAUUAUGAAGAUGAAGAUGAAGAUGAACAAGGUGCCAAAAAUUUCAAAGCUAAUAUUUACUAUGGAGUCAGACCUACGGAAGUAACCGCUGUUACGAUGCUCUCUACUUAAAAAAAAAAAAAAAAAAAGGUAAUUACUUCGUUUUUUCUCGUUUGUUUCAAUGAUGAAUAAUCCUUACUAAAAUUUAUAAUUACUAGUUAAGUUAGAUGUUGGAUAAUUAGUUUACUAGUUUGCGUUUUUUUUUUUUUUUUAUUUAAUCGUGUUUUCUAUGAAAUUGAUGUCGUCGGGGAACGUCACUCGCAAUUUAUACUGCUCCUCUUGAAUGUGGUGAAUAUACUUGCAAUACAGACCGAUCAACUCUUUUCUCGGUGACCUUCGAAGUUUAAUGUAUUUAUGUCUCUCAAAUUUAUAUGAUAUUUAGCAUGAAGCAUGUGAAAGGUAGAAUUUUCCCUAGUUUAUUGAACACUGUACAUUUGCUAUAACUCAAUUAAUUGGAACCAGAGUUUUUGUUAUAGAAAUUCAAAUUUAUACACUUUAACAUGUAACACGGUUUCGGAUUUUUCAAUUGCAGGUGAUUCCAGGUUCAUAGAAUAUAUAUAUAUAUAUAUAUAUAUAUAUAUAUAUAUAUAUAUAUAUAUAUAUAUAUAUAUAUAUAUAUAUAUAUAUAUAUAUAUAUAUAUAUAUAUAUACACACACACACGCGUGUGUAUACAUAUAUAUAUAGAGAAAGAAAAAAACAAAAAAGAAAGGGAAAAGAAGAAAAAAGAAAAGAAGAUUUGGUCCAAGUUUUAUUUCAAGGAGGACACGUCGAGCUGUCAUGUGGGUUCACUUUGAGAAAGAAGACGGUACAAGAAAAUUUAAUAAAAUAGUUUGAAUUUUGAAAGAAUAAAUUAAUUUUGCAUAAAACUCCUUUGUAUUGUAGAAGAUAUGCCCUAAAUCCCCCUGUGUCACAAAAAAACACUAAUGGUGUUAACUAUUAACAGAAAUGGAAAUUUCAUGCAAGAAAGAAGGGCUCUUGCGCAAGAAAAAAAAAACAGGGGUUUGGCGCAGGUUUUCCUUAUCUUCUCCGAACUUGGAAACUAUAAUCAGCCUGCAUAAAAAAUCCGAAAAUAUGUUAAGUAAUGCUCAAGCUGUUAAUAGUGUAAAUUUCUAUAACUUAAACUGGAAGGACUACAUUGCAAUUAAUUAACUUUUUCAUGGAUCUUGUCUUCAUGUAGCGAGCAAUUUUCUUCUAGCUUUUUUUUUUUGGUAAUUACAUGUGUACCCAUCUUUUUGUUUAAAAUUUUAUAAUCACUAAAAGUAGCUCACAAGCUCAUAUUUCAAACAUUUUAAAAUGUAAUUCUAUAAAUAAGACGAAAUAGUUUAUCAGUUUUUUAAUCGAUUUUAUUCGAUGUAAAAAUUUAUCAAGAUCUUGCAUAUCCAAUCUUAUAUCAUUAGAAUGGCCCGGAAAACAGAAAUUUCGAAUAAGCAAGAUAUUUGUAUUUAAAGAAAAUAUCUUAUGAUUAGGAAAAAGGGAGAGGAGUUAUUCAUUUAGAAAUAUGUACAAAAGACACACGUUCUCUUUCGAAAACUAUCUCGAGAAAAUCCUAACUCCGACGAACAAAAGAGAUAAUUAUAAAAGAUAACUUUUCUUUUGAUAAUUUAUAAAAGGGAAUUAGGCUGCGUACUAAACUGCGAGAUCAAGAAGAUGGAAUAAAUUACCCUUGAUUGAAAUUGCUACACAAGAAGAAGAUCAAAAAGAAAAAGAAGAAGAUGUUCGGAGGCCGCUGGAGAAACCAUUGAUUGAUAUGCAACAUAAGUUGAAGAUGAAGCUCGUCGUCCAUCGAUGGAUUUGAUCGACUUCUCGGGAAAGAGGCGCCGGUUGUCGUCGAGAACCUCACCCCCAUGCCAACCACCUUUAGCCUCAUGGAUCUUGUCGUCGAGAACCUCACCCCCAUGCCAACCACCUUUAGCCUCAUGGAUCUUGUCACCCGGUGUAGGAUCUCAAAAGCCGAUCUUGUCUUCGUGUAGCAAGCAAUUUUCUUGUUUCUAAUUUCUUUUGGGUAAUAAUUACACGUGUCCCCACUUCUUAAAAAAAAUUAUAAUAUCAAACAUUUUAAAACACAAUUCUAUAAAUAAGACGUAAUAAUUUAUCAAUUGUUUAAUCUUUAAAUAGUUUAUUAAAUAUUUAAAUGUAAAAAAAUUAUUAAGAUCUCGCAUAUCCAAUCUUAUAACAUUAGAAUGGCUCGUAAUAUUGGAAUUUCGAAUAAGCAAACUCCUUUUAUUUAAAGAAAAUAUAUCUUAUGAUCAAAGAAAGGGGAGACCUACUAGCGGUGGCUGAAGAGAGUUAAAUUCAUUCUGAAAUAUACACGUUCGUUCUCUUUUGAUAACUAUCUCGAGAAAACCCUAACUCCAACGGGAAUCUUCUCUUCAUAUGUCUUCUCCCACGAACCAAAGGGAUAAUUAUAAAAGCCUUUAAUAAAAGGAAACUUUUCUAAUGAUAAUUUAUAAAAGGAAACUUGGUCGCGUACUAAACUGCAAGAUCUAAUAUGGAAUGCAAAAGAAAGCGCGUGACUAGUGACUCUCUCGAGGUUGUGAAAUAUAUAAAAUAAAUAGAAUAUAGGGGAAAUUUGCUAGACACCCCUUAUUUUAGACUUAUAUGGCUAGAGAUCCUAGUUUUUAGAUGAAUAUAGGCAUACGUCCUUUGACCCAAUAAAUUAAUAUAAAUAAAUUAAAAUAAUUAGUAUAUAGACCAUAACACCCUCAAUUAAUAAGAAAACAAAUCUUAUAUAUCUUUUCUCUCCAAUCUCACGUUACUUUCCCCCUAUAUAAUUCCUCAUCUCUCUCCUUCUGUUAUUUUCCCCCUAUAUAAUUCCUCAUCUCUCUCCUUCUGCAACUCAAUUCUCAUGCCUCUCUCUCUCUCUCUGGUGCUUCUCUCUCUCUCUUUUUUUUUUCUUUUUCGUUUUCUUUUUUUUAGUGAAGAAAUAUUAUAGAGAUGAAAAAAAACAAGGAUCUUUUUAGAUUAUGAGAGGAUUUCUUUGUGAAAGAAUUAAAGAGGACGACAAACAUCCCCUCCAAAAAAAAUCAGAAAUCCAGAAUCCUAGCCAAAUUCGCAUUGUGUUUUCCGUAUGUAGAACCUCCCAUCGUUUGUUGUUAGCAAUUUCCGUUUGCAGUUGGUUUAAUUUCGUUUGUUGUUUGAAUAAUUGCGUUUGAUGUUGAGAUUCGAUUCAUCUGGUUUACAAUUUGCAAGGUAUGUCUUAAGUUACAUUUUACAAACAUUUUGUUUAAUAUUUUUGUUGUUUGCAAACUGUUCUAUAAACAAUUUUUUGGUUGAUGUUUUUAAUGAUACUGAUUUUUUUUAUUUUUUUUCAGUUUGUUGUUUGCAUUUGGCCAAGUCAUAGGUAGUUUAUUGUUUGCAAUUCAAUAAUGCAAGUUUUGCUGAAUGUUUUUCUUCAGUUUGCUGUUUGCAUUUGGCGAAGUCAUAGGUAAUUUUUUGUUUGUAAUUUAGUAAUACAAAUUAUGAAUUUUGUUUUUUCAGUUUGUUGUAUGCAUUUGGCGAAAUCAUAGGUAUUUUGUUGUUUGCAAUUCAAUAAUAUAAAAUCUAAUUUUCAGUUUGCUAUUUGCAGUUCGCGGAGUACGUCGUAGUUCCCGGAUCAUAGGUGGUGGUGGGGCUGCGGUGACAUUUUUAGAGUAUGAGUUUGUAAAAUAAAUUGUAUAUUUUUGUUAUGAAUUAAUUUAUUUGUUUUGGUUAAUAUUUGGAAGAGAGAUGUUUGGGAAUUUGUUAUGAUAGAUAGAUUUUUGGGGAUUUGAUUUGAUUUAAUUAAGGGCAUUUUUGCCAUAAUAAAUAUUAUUAAUUUAUUAAAACAUUAAAUUUUGGCUUGAAUUUACAAACAUAAAUUAUAAUAUAGAGGGACCUCUAGCAAAUUGCCCCUAGAAUAUAUUAUAGGGGGCGGUUAAAACUAUUACCAAAUUUUUAUACUUCAAUACCACUAAGUUUGAAACCAUUUUUUAUAAAAGUUUUUACAAUGUUUUCUUAGUUUAAUACUACAAAUAAAAAAAAUUAUUAGCAAAGUACUAAAAUACCUCUGAUCAAACAAAAUACAAUUUAUACAAAUAAAAUUAUUUUUCCCUCAUUUCAAUACCAAGGAUAAAAAAAGAAAAACAAAUCCUCUCUUCUUCUCCUCCAAACUCAAACCCCUUAAACCCUCUCUUCUUCUACAUCUUCUUAUAAAUUCUUCCAAAAAUCUUCAAAUUCAAAAAUAUCAAAACCUCACAAAACUUAUACAAUGGAGUCACAAGACAAUAAAAUGGUAGUAUACAUGGAAGGAAACUCCAUUAAAGUAUGUGUCCAUGUCUUUUUUUAGCUUCGAAGUUGAUUAUGAAGUUUUUUUUAAAACCCGUCGACUCGACAUAUACAUGUCGAAAAAUCACUGCUGCAAAAAAAAAAUUUAUAAACCAACACUGUUGUUUCGACACAUACCUGUCGAAAUUAGGUAUGUGUCGAAAUUAUUUUUUUUUUCGACAAGUUGGUGUCGAAAAUUAACCAAAAAUUCGACAUGUAUGUAUCAAAAAUUGUCGGUGGGGUUCAAAAAACAAAACUACGAAGUUAAAAAACGACAUGGAUACAUAUUUUAAUGUGUUCUCAUUGGUCGUAAACUAUCAUUUUGUUGUCAUUUGACUCCAUUUUGUAAGUUGUGUGAGGUUUUAAUUUUUCUAGUUUUGAGAUUUUUUAGGAGGGUUUGUUGUGAUGAAGAAGAAGGAGGUUGAGGGAUUUAUGAAGAAGGAAAUGAGUUUGAUGGGUUUUGUGUGUUUGGUAUUGAAGAAAGAAAAAUGAGAUUUUUAAUGUUUUUAUGGUAUUGAUUUUCAUCAAGGGUAUUUAUGUCAUUACCUAUUUAUUAUCCAAUUUUUAUUUUUUUGAUAUUGAAGUGAGAAAACUUUAAUAAUAAUGCCAUUAAACAUUAUCCAUUGGUAUUCUUAAAAAAUGUAUAAAAUAAAAGAGAACUAUCACCAUUUUUAUUUAAAAUAUAACAAUUUUUAUUUAAAAUAUAGGGGCUUUUUGAGAAAACUCCCUCACUAUUUUUUUUAAUGGAGGGAGACCCAAAAUAUUUUAAUCUAUUUGAGAAAAGCCCACACUCAUUUUCAGCCAUUAUGUUUUCCAACUUUGCCCCCGUCCGCCACAUCAACACUUGCUCACGCGCUCAACAAUUUUUUAUUUUUUUUUCUGUUUUUUUCCCGUCUUUUCUGUAUCAGUUUCCUUAAUCGACUAUGAAGCAUAGUCGAUUAACCUUAAUAGACUAUGCUUCAUAGUCGAUUAAGGAAAUUAUUUAUUUUUUUAUUUAUUUUUUGUUUUUUAAUAUUUUUUUUCUAUAUGAGGUAUAUUAAUUGACUAUGAUGUGAAGCGUAGUGGAUUAAGAAUCUGCGAAUAAAAAUAACAAAUCACAAUUGCGAAAAAAAUACAAAAUCAACUAUAUAUUACAAAAGCAAAAAAUAUAAAAAUAUUAGAAAUGAGAUUAUACAAUUUGGAAUCAAUAAAAAAAAAGUUCAAAAAAAAAAUAAAAAAAAAUGGAGUUGAUCGACCUUAAUCGACUGCCAUAGCAUAGUCAAUUAGCUUAACCGACUAUGAACAUGUACAUACUCGAUUAAGGUCUCAGCAUGCGCGAAAUUCUCUACCAGCGCCGUCCUCCACCCGAUCCUCCAAAAAACCCUAAAUCUGUCUCCCCAUCGUCACCACAGUGCCGCCACAUCACAUUAUUCAUACUGUUGUAGAAAAUCCUCAAUAGUAUUCGUGUUGUUUGAGAAACGUGAUUUCUUCGACAAAUAAAAUUAUAAUAAAACAAACAGUAAUUAAUUACUCCAACAUUUUUUACUCACAAAAAGUGAUGUUGCAGAGUAUUCAAAAUCAAAAUUUAAUGGAGAUGAUGAAUUUAAAAUAAAAACAAAUCUAUCAGUUAAAGAAAACAACCCGCAUCGGCAACAACUUGUUUGACGGGGUCUUCAUAUCGUCGAGCCGAAACCUCGUCGUCGUCAGCCUUCGCGGCCAGAGCUCCACCCACAAUAUGUCCAAUCAUGAUGGUUGUAGCAGUUCUUCACCCAAUAUGUCUGCCAAUGUUCAUCGGAACAGCAUUUAACGGCGUCGGCCGAAAUCUGAUCGAGAAGAGAAGAAGCAGAUCGAGAAGAAAAAACAAAAACGAGAGAAGAGAAGAGGGAAAAUGAGAAGAAAAGAGAUAACAGCGGGGACAUGUUAAACUUUAGGGUUAAGAGUAAGGGUAUAAUUGGAAGAUUAGCUUUAUUAAUUAUUCAAAUUAACAACAAAAAGGAUUUUCUCUAAUUGUUUUUUAGAUGAGGUGUUUUCUUAACUCAUUUUCCUAGAUGAGGGGGUUCUUGCUAAUUAUCCCAAAAAUAUAAUCUCAUUGAAAGUGAAAGAAUUUAUGGUCCCGAAUUCGUUUAAUACAGAGAUGUUAUCUGAAGUGUUAUGACACUUGAGAAAACAUGCAGCGGAAAUAUAAAGAUAAAAAGACAAUACUCAGAAUUAAAAAUGUUCACAAGUAAAGACUUGUGAACUUGCCCUUUACAGGACGGAAAAAUAUAUUAAAACAGUAUUCCAAGAAUACAAACAGAAGAGGUGCGAAAACUUCUUCCUUAUGAAUGAAUCAUUCUCAUGAUCAUUCUUACAAUCAAAUCUAGAUACUAAAAGAAAAAUAUUAAAAAUUCUAGAUUUCAAAGAUGUACUCGUGAGGAGUACGUAAAGAACUUAUGAAUGUAUCACUAUCUUGAUCAUUCUUACAACCACGUCUAGAAACAUAUAUACUAAACAAUCUAGACUACAAAGAAUGUACUUAUGAGAAGUACGUAAAGAAUGUACUCAUAAGGAGUACGUAAAGAUUGUACUCAUGAGGAGUACAACCAACCGAUUCUAGAAACACACUAAAACACUUAUGUAAUCUUUUCAGCUCUCGGUGUUUAUUUCUUCGGGAUCGAUCAAUUUCCUUGAGUAUUGAAAUCGGUAUUUAUAGACAUUUCAAGCUUCCACUCCUCAGCCCAUGAUCUGCAAGAAAACCAACUACAAGAGCACUCAAGAACAUGGGUUAGUGGGUUAGUUUAGAAGUUAAGAUAAAAUCCACAAUUUAAUCCACUAAGCACUACUUAACCCACUAAGUACUAUACUUAACCCACUAAGUACUAUACUUAACCCACUAAGCACUACUUUUUCAAUAACUAAAAUUUAGUUUAAAAAAUAAGAGAGUUAAAAAUAAAACGUGGAAAUAAUUCACGUGUUUCAGAAAGUUUUAAGGUAAUUUUUGCCUAACACGGUUUUAUCGUUAAAAUAAUGGAUUAUAAUAUAGAAAUUCUUAUAUUAUUUAAAAUGAAUACAAUAACUUUAAAGAAAUAACUGAAAUGUUAAUUGCAUCGGGACUUUACUGAAAUUGGCUUAUUUGCAGCGAUAGUCUCAUUUGUCAAUUUUCUAACUUUCUAAAAAUCGAAACUCUCUCAACUAAAAAAAAUCGAAAACUUAGAAUCUGAAGGUCGUUCGACAAAUUCGAAACUAAACAACAACAUUUUUUUUGUAUGGCCGAUCCAUAUUACUUUUACAAGGUAAAUACGAAGGAAGAGGGGGGGAACGUGUUGUGCAACACGUGGGUAGAAAAAAAGAAAAAAGUUGAAGUACCCGUCCCCUAGAGGACGGGAACCUAAGUUUUAGUUUUUUUUUUUUUUUUUUUUGGUUUACUUUAUUCCUUUAGUAUUAUUUGGUAGGGUGAUGAUGGUGAUUUUGACGAAGAAUAUGCAAACGAGUACAAUAAUCCCAAUAUGUAUUAUCAUGUUCCUCAAAUAAUUACAAAAUUUGACAUUUAAACUAAAUAUAUAUAUAUAUAUAUAUAUAUAUAUUAAAAAAAAAAAAAAAAAAAAAAGCCUUAGCUUCCCCGUCUCCCCCGCCAUAUCGAAAUUUAAUCUUCAGGACUUUUUCCGAACUUGAAGAAGCACCCAUAAUCCCAUUCCUCUUGUGCUAACGUGUCAUCUAUUGGGGGGGAAACGUGUUGUGUAGCACGUGGAUAAAAAAAAAGAAAAAAGUUGAAGUACCCGUCCCCUAGAGGACGGAAACCUAGGUUUUAGUUUAGUUUUUUUUUUUUUUACUUUAUUCCUUUAGUAUUAUGUGGUAGGGUGGAGAUGGUGAUUUUGACGAAGAAUAUGCAAACGAGUACCAUAAUGCCAAUAUGUGUUAUCAUGUUCCUAAAAUAAUUACAAAAUUUGACAUUUAAACUGAUAAUAUAUAUAUAUAUAUAUAUAUAUAUAUAUAUAUAUUUAAAAAAAAAGCCUUAGCUUCCCCGUCUCCCCCGCCAUAUCGAAAUUUAAUCUUCAGGACUUUUGUUGAACUUGAAGAAGCACUCUUAAUUCCAUUCCUCUUGUGCUAAUGUGCCAUCUAUAAGAAAUAAAUAUAUUAAUUAAUUAAUUAAAAAAAUAUUAAAGAAAAUUAAAACAUGAAGUUCCGUUCUGCCAGAACACGGGAACUUCAAGAAUCUUCAAGUUCCCGUGUUCUGCAGAAUGGGAACUUCAUGUUUUUUGAGUCGUCCGUUCUGCUGAGCACGGUAACAUAAAGAUUAUUCAAGUUCCAGUGUUCUGCAGAACAGGGGAAUCAUAUUUAAUUUAUUUUUAUUUUUUUUGAAAAUAAAAAUCUUUUUUUUCAGCUUCCCGUUCUUCGGAGCACGAACACUUGAAGAAACUUCAAGUUUCCGUGCUCUGCAGAACGGGGAGUUCAAAAAACUUGAAUCCUCCGUUCUAUAGAGCACGUAUACUUGAAGUUUCUUCAAGUGUUCGUGCUCUUUAGAACGGUGGCUUCAAAUUUUUUUUUUUUUUUUUUUUUGAAAAUUGGCUAUCUAAUCCUUAACAUGUGUUUUUAGCUAAAUUGUAGAUAAAACUAAUUAAAAGUAGUGGGAUAUUGAAAAAUUACCGGAAUCGAGCAUCGUUUGCUACGGAUACAAAGUUGAAAAAAUUUCCGAAAUUCGAAUGUCUUGAGAGAGUUUGGGAGUAGGAGAGAGAAUUUCAAAAAAAAAAAAAAAUUGGAAAAGAUUUCGCUGCAUUCAAUAAAAGGCCCGCUGCAAAUAGCAACACCCAAGAAACAAGGGUAAAUUACAACCACCCUCAAGAUUUUGUCAAUUUACGAAAAAACUCCUUUUGUUUGGAUAAUUAUAUCUACCCAUCAACUAUGAUUUUUUUCUUACACCUCCAUGCUUAUGGUGUCAAAUUCAAUAUAAUCAUGUAGAUUUCGUGGAAUGCUCUCUAGUUUUUACUGGUUAUUGUGCCAAAAUACAGUUUCUGAUGCACCACAAUCUGAUAUAUACAAGCCAAAAAUCACAUCUUAUGAUCAUCUUGCUUCAAAUUGUGGAGCUCGAAUGGGAUAAAACGGCUACAAAAUUAAGAAUAUUUCAUAUAAUAAAAAAAAAUCCACUAAAUUUGAAACCGCAGGGAUGAGUCGUGUAAGAAGAUUUAUAGUUGAGGGAUAGCUGUAAUUAUCCAAAUAGGAGGGGGUUUCGUAAUUUGACCAUACCUCAGGGGGUGUUUGUAAUUUACCCAAUUUUUAUUUAAUAGAAGUCAAUUGGCGGAGGAAUUUACCAAACAAAAUCCGAUAUUGCAGCCCAACCCACUAAUAUAAUCCAGCCCAUUCAUUACCCUGUAAUCUCUAUAUAUAUAUAUAAAAACGACUAGGGUUUCAAUUCGAUCGUAGAGAGAGAAAGUAGUAGAGAGAGAGAGAGAGAGAGAGAGAGAGAGAGAGAGAGAGAGAGAGAGAUGGAGAUGGCUUGUUAUGAAUCCGUCGUCGAUAAAUUGCAAGAGAUGAAACCGUUGAGUAACAACUGUGCGGGAAGAAUGAAUCUGAUAGCUGAACCCGCCGCCGUCAAUCAAUUGGAAGCGGCGGAGGAGAAGAAGAAUAAUCGUAAAGAGAUUCCAGAACAUGUAAAGAAGAUACUUGCCAUGUGGAAGGCUUGUGCAGGUUUUCUGCCAAUGUAUGAUCGAGAUAUCCCCGAUUCAUGUUCUCCCGAAGUAUUUCAGAGGCUCCUAGGUUUUGCCCAAUUGUCAAUUGAUGUCUUCAAUCAGAGACAGGUAAUUUUUUUUCUUUUUUUUCUUCCCCUCUGUUUAUGUUCAAUUUUGCCUUUUUUUUUUAGGUCAGAGUUUUUUUCAUGAUUUGAUUAUUAAUUUUGUGUGUGUGUGUAGCCCAUCAAAUACUGUGUGGUGGAUUUGGUGAAAGCAACGCAACUUUUGGUGGAUGGGUAUUUAGUCGAUUUGAGGUUUACCGCCAAGCCUGCUGAUUAUGAAGAUGAAGAUGAAGAUGAAGAUGAACAAGGUGCCAAAAAUUUUAAAGCUAAUAUUUACUAUGGAGUCAGACCCACUGAAGUAACCGCUGUUACGAUGCUCUCUACUUGAAAAAAAAAAAAAAAGGUAAUUACUUCGUUUUUUCUCGUUUGUUUCAAUGAUGAAGAAUCCUUACUAAAAUUAUAAUUACUAGUUAAGUUAGAUGUUGGAUAUUUAGUCUUUUGAGUUGUUGGGAUGUUUAAUAUGUUGUUGGAAAUUUGAUAAUUCGAAGUUAUCGUGUUUUAUAUGAAUUGAUGUCGGGGAAAGUCACACGCAUUUUACACACCGAUCAACUCUUUCUCCUGACCUUGAAGUUUAAUGUAUUGAUUGAUACAUUGCUUCUGGGCAUGGUACCUGUAUUUAUAUGAUGAUAUUUAGCAUGAAGCAUGUGAAAGGCAGAAUUAAGUGG
rnacentral:lncRNA from 1 species